GAGAAAUAUUGAUCCACUAGUCAUCAGUAGGGAGCAAUAGGCAAACCCCAAAGCAUUCCCCUUUAACAGUAUCCCUGUGGCAUCAUUCCCUUGUAUCAGCAGAGUUUCUCAUCUCCACCAUUGUAACUAAGUACCAUCAGAUAUGUCCCCAUACUUAGUAGCAGCUCUCUCUUGUCCGUCAGAGAACCAUUGCAACAAGUAAUAGUUCCCACAGAUCAUAUUUCUAUUUCAAGAUGUAGGCCUUCCUUGUAUCCACACUUUGUGAAAAUACUUACAGACGAAUGUCUCAAAUUUGGCUCCUACCUGGCUCCUAUAAUCUAGUCCCUUUUCUAUCUUUCAUAAUGUGGCAGCUUUCUGUAGUCCUGGCUACUGAGUAAAUGCAUCAUUGCUUAGAUCAUUUUAAUUGGGCCUUGAUUCAAGGACCUGCUAUAGAUUUAUUUUUCCUUUACUUGGAAUUUUUACAUUACAUUUACAUAAGACUUUGAAAUUAUCCAGAAAUUAUCUUUUUUAUUUGGAUUUUUUGAUGUUUUUUAUUUCUUAUGCCAAUUGAUUCACAUACCUCAUACUUCAGCCAUGCAUCCUCAAGUGAUCCCCAUUUUUUUUCAAUCACCCUCUUCAGGGGGGUAGUGUAAAAUUAUUAUUAUUUUAAAUUGCAAAGUUUAAAUUCCUUUUGAGAGAAAUUUUAGGUUAAGUAACAUGAUACCUCUCUGAAUCCAGAAACUGAACUGUUUGGAGAAGACACCAUGAAGAUGCCUCCACAGACCACAAGCUGUGCAAGAGAAGAUCAAGAAUGAACUUUGGGUGUGGUUGAUUGAACAUUUAUUUCACUUCCUGUAGUGAGGGAGCCUUGGAGCCAAUUGAUCCUGGAACUUGAGCCUGGAGGAGCCCCUCAGACAGCUUCCUUGAGAAUGUCAAGUGAGGAGUUACAGAUCCACAUGGUUUCCCAGAGUUUCUAUACCACAAAUCCCCCAUUUCAACAUAAUCGUUGGUCGAAGAAGCAGACAACUCUAAUUUAUCCUUAUCCCCAAGAGAACCAAGCACAAGGCUUUGAACAUAGUAGGUACUCAAUGCAUGCUUAUCUAUUGAUUGUUAGACUUCCCAAACCUACCCCGUUCUCUCACAGGGGAU
rnacentral:lncRNA from 1 species